GGAAAGGUGUCCGAGUGGUUUAAGGAGCACGCCUGGAAAGCGUGUGUAUGUAACAAUACCGGGGGUUCGAAUCCCCCCCUUUCCGCCA
rnacentral:tRNA from 1 species